CUUUGCAGCAUGCCCAACAUGUGUUUGUGUUAAUGCCUGAAUGAAAAACUAUGGCCACAAAUUCGACUGUUAAGUGCAAUCUUGACGGUCAUUGUUCAUUUUGAUUUUCUAUAAAAACUAGACCAAUCCUUUUAGUUGCUUCACAUAUACCACAUUCUAUAUACUUAUGUAUUUACACUGAGAGUUCAUCCAUUUAUGUGUCAAAGAUUCACUUUGAUCUAGCACACUAUGAUUAGUUAUUGUACGAGGAAAUGUCGAGUUGCUACAAGGAUAGAUUUAUUUUCUCAUCAGCAUGCUACUCUGAGCCAAGCAAUCUUACUUCUUAUGAACUUUAAUCAUCUUUUGCUCCAAGCCAAGCAAUCUAGAUUAAGCCAGUGAUUUGCAUCAUGUCUUUCAUGAGUCUGUAAUCUCAAAAGUUGCCUCGGUUUGUUAGGUACUUUCACAUCACACGUCUAAUCUGAAUUUGACCAAGUCUGUGCUAUAUGAAAAAUAUCCCACCUCAUGCAAUGGAUAUCUGUUUUGAUUUGCUUUCUUGGUGAUCA
rnacentral:lncRNA from 1 species